GAUGAACGCUGGCGGCGUGCUUAACACAUGCAAGUCGAACGGAAAGGCCCCUUUGGGGGUCCUCGAGUGGCGAACGGGUGAGUAACACGUGAGUAACCUGCCCUUGACUUCGGGAUAACUUCAGGAAACUGGGGCUAAUACCGGAUAGGAAUCCUUGCUGCAUGGUGGGGGUUGGAAAGCUUCGGCGGUUUUGGAUGGACUCGCGGCUUAUCAGCUUGUUGGUGGGGUAGUGGCUUACCAAGGCUUUGACGGGUAGCCGGCCUGAGAGGGCGACCGGCCACAUUGGGACUGAGAUACGGCCCAGACUCCUACGGGAGGCAGCAGUGGGGAAUAUUGCACAAUGGGCGGGAGCCUGAUGCAGCAACGCCGCGUGCGGGAUGACGGCCUUCGGGUUGUAAACCGCUUUCAGCAGGGGCGAAGCUUGUGGUGACGGUACCUGCAGAAGAAGCACCGGCUAACUACGUG
rnacentral:rRNA from 1 species